rnacentral:lncRNA from 1 species
AUCAAGGGGAGCAUCCCGGAAGUCAGAGACGCAGAUGAAAGCAGGAACUGUUUGCGGACACUCAUUCCUGUUUCCUCCGAUGUCUCUCGAGUAUAGUAAGGAAAAGACCGCAUUUCAGAUGAUGCUCACGGAUCCACCCUCAGGGCACCCCGGGAAUGGUGUGUGUCUAAACUGGGGGGAUGUGUGCAGCUGGAGACGGCUGCAAUCAGCUCAGGCUUCCUCAGUCACGCUGCUCUGGGAGGAAGAAUGGCAUCGACGACAGUGGGUAUAUUGGUGGCUUCCCAAAUCAUAGGCCAUGUCCCAAUCCUUAGAACCAGAGAACAUUACCUUAAUGGCAUGGGAGUGGAUUUACCUUAUAUGGUGAUAGAGGUGAUUGAAUUAAGGAUCCUGGGAGACUGAUUAUCCAGUCUGCAGUGUAUAGUGGAAUAGAAGGGCUCAGCCCCCAGGAGAACCUCAUCUGAGGACCCAUAACCUGAGGGUGCUAUUGCAGGAAAAGCCAAAUGGAAGCUCCCAGAGCUGCCCUCCCUGCCAGAGAGUCAAAGGAAAGCAGAAACAUUUUCCCGAGGGAACGGCAGGGAUUUGUGUCGUCAUCAGAGACUGGAAAUACACAAGGAUGGUUAUACUUCUAUCACCAUCUUGGCGCAGAUGACCACAAGCUUAGUCAGGAAGAGAUUCCUAUUGCACUGAUUCGAUUUACUUACUGCAACAGAUCAGCAUGGACUCCGGCCCCUCAGGGGCAGCUACUUAUUGAGAAGAUGCAUUAGUCUACCUCAGUGAAAACACUGAUCACGAAGCAGUUUGCCUUGACCUUACAAGACACCACAAGCUGUCCACCUUCACUGCUGUGUUCCAAGGUUAUGUCCGAUGCUCUUUCUCCGCCACGAUUGGGUACAGAGGAUUGUACCCAAUACCACGAUUGGUCAUCUCGUCUCACCAUCUCAAGUGAUUUUAUUUUAGUUUGUCACAUCGAUGGCAAGUUGGAGUGUCUGGAGAGUAGAGGAACCUACACACUUAUGCCUUGAUGAGCAGCAUGAGAGGGUCCUGACACCUGAGACCAUGAGGCCCUCAAAUGAUGCUUCCAGGCAUCCCAGCCAGCGACAGAGACAGCGAAGCCUCACUAGUCUGGUUUCCAUACCUCCCGCUUGCCUUGAGCCUGGCUGACACAUGCCCUCCUUGUGAUGGAUGUCACACUCAACAGCGACAAGCAUUUGGGCACUUGGCGGAGAUUGUCCUGGGAAGGAAGCGUUCUUGUUGUCAUAAGGACAAAUGACUCAGUGAAUAUGAGCCUGGCAAACAGCUCCUGCUUCUAUGAACAGCCACGGACACCCCAAAGAAACCAUCGGGUACCAACACUGGCUUGAGACACGAACAAGCGUAUGGUGACGUGUACUGUUUCAGCUUCCAUCCAAAGACACUGCUCUAACUGGAUCAGCAUUCUUUGCAGAGUUAGAGGUACCGGAUGGAAGAUCCUUGGAUAACAAAAAUCAGAUGGAUGAACCCAGUGAAUGGGGAAGCAUGCAGACAGCCCAGGUGUACACGGCACUUUAUGAAUAUUGGACAACUAUAGGAAAUGCAACUACGAG